GAAUUGGUUUGGACAAGAGGAAUCUGACUAUUUAAUUAAAACAAAGAAUUGCAAUGGUCCUUGCGGAUGCUGAUGCAAUGUGAUUUCUGCCCAAUGCUUUGAAUGCUAAAGUGAAGAAAUUCAACAAAGCAUGGGUAAACAACAUGAAUAACUAUGACUCUCUUAAGGUAGCCAAAUUCCUUGUCAUAUAAUUAGUGAUAUGGACAUGAAUAUGGGGAUCAUUCAUGUCC
rnacentral:ncRNA from 1 species